rnacentral:rRNA from 1 species
UACGGGGGGAGCAAGCGUUGUUCGGAUUUACUGGGCGUAAAGGGCGCGUAGGCGGCCACCGCAAGUCGGUUGGGAAAUCUCCGGGCUUAACCCGGAAAGGUCAAUCGAUACUGCGGGGCUAGAGUGCAGAAGGGGCAACUGGAAUUCUCGGUGUAGCGGUGAAAUGCGUAGAUAUCGAGAGGAACACCUGCGGCGAAGGCGGGUUGCUGGGCUGACACUGACGCUGAAGCGCGAAAGCUAGGGGAGCGAACGGG